CACUUCAACCCAGCUGAGAAAAACCAAGAGAACAAGUGUCUUGGACACAAUCACAGCGACUGUAUGAUCAAGGAGAGGAAAGAAGAAGAGCUUAUAUACAUGCACAUGGUAGUGGUGAGAUUGUGAGAGGAUAGGAAAGCAGUAACCGAUGAUUCAUGGGCAGAUGGUGAUGUUAUUACGAUAACCAAACCAGGUCCACACAGGACCAUGGCUUGAGUGUGUAGCGAAUUGCCUCCAGAUGCAAAACUACCUAAGCCAGAAGUGCAUGAUGAGGAAUCGAAGACAGAUAAUAUGAAGACCCAGGCUGUGCCCAGCAGCAGGGCUUCUGGGGAUGAUGAUAAUUCAGAAACAGACAACAGAGUGGUAGAG